CUGGUGGUGACCGAUGUAGAAUUUAAAUCCUAAAAGUUUUCUACAUCGUUUGUGUUGGUGCUCGAUGUAGAAUUAGAAGGGCAUUAUUAUUUUACAACGUUUUUAUUCGUGACCGAUGUAGAAUUGGAAGACAUUUCCAAACACAAGAACGAUCUCCUGCGUUCUCAUCAGUGCGCGCUUCUCCAACUCCAUGCGUAGGAAGCUUUUUAAUUGGCGAAAAAUUCUUCGCGUGUUCCUCAACUAAUCGUCUACUCUCGUGUACUAAGAAUUGAACGCAUUGUAUUCUUUGAAUAGACUAUUAGAAGCCUUGCCGGAUCCUCAAAACUGCGUUCAUCAGAAACUUCGAAAGCUGGUAAUUUAUUUUUUCCACUAUUGCCGACUGGGCUCUCCACUGUAAGCGCCGCCGCGAGGAUAUCAAAAGGGACACCGUUGCAGGUGCGGAUCUUGCUUCGGUGCUAGACGAGCAAAUUUUGAAAGAGAAACAGCCUGAUGUGGAUGAGUGUGAAAAUCAAGAUGAAGAGGCUGUUGCGAUGGUUGAAGAACCCCAUUCUGCUUAUGUUGGGUGAUAUUGUAAUUUCUGUUGAGAUAGCAGCAAGACAAGCAGAGGAAAGAGGGCACACUCUUCUUGAUGAGAUCUGAAUCCUCAUGGUUCAUGGUUUGUUACAUCUUUUGGGAUUUGAUCAUGAAAUAAGCGAAAAGGCUGAAGUAGAAAUGGAAAGAGAGGAGGAAAUCCUUUUAAGAAGUCUUGAUUGGAAGGGAAAAGGGCUAAUAAAGAGUGCAUGUGAUGUUGAAACAAACUCAAAUUUUCACCAAGACAGUUCAGAUGGCAAUUGUAUUUUUUACUAGUAUGCCUCAGCAAUCCUCAACUUGCAUAAUUUUAAUUUAUUGGUUUUAUAUAUUUCCCUCUAAUUCAAGUAACUAUCAUUUGCAUAAAAUGUAUGGGGCAAUAAUCUUAUAGAUGAAUUGUCAAAAGACAGGAAGAAAGAAGGCAGUCUUCGAUUUUACAAACCAAAGUUUAGCUAUAUCUUCUGUGAUAUGGAUGUAUAGCAUGUUGAGGGUCGGUUACUAUGCAACUAUUUGGGAUUGACAGCUAUGGUGCUAAUAAUAUUUCAAAUCCCCUAAUUAUGAAGAGAAGACUAAUGAGGAAAAGUUUAUUGAUUCAUCAUUACACCAUUAUGUUAUUUUCUCUAAUAAUGUGCUUGCAACUUCAGUGGUUAUCAACUCCAUUGUAUUUCAUGCAAAGGAAAGUUCAAAUCAGGUUUUUCAUGUGUUGACUGAUGGAGAAAAUUAUUAUGCAAUGAAGCUCUGGUUCUUGAGGAACCAUUAUAAGGAAGCUUCUGUUCAAGUGCUGAAUGUAUCAUUUUGUGGUUAUGAUUAUCCAUCCAUGAAACAUAUUAGAAUAGAAUACCUUUCAAUUUUUUCUGAUUCACACUAUUUACUUCCUGAUUUAUUCAGCAAUUUGGAGAAAGUUGUGGUUUUGGAUGAUGAUGUUGUUAUUCAACAAGACUUGUCUGCGUUAUGGAACAUGGACUUUGGGGAUAAACUUAAUGGUGCAGUGCAGUUCUGCUCGGUAAAGUUUAGGUUCGUGUCUAACUUGGGAGAGCUUUUUAAUGGUUCAUGAUUUUAAGUCAAGUUAGACAAAGGAACUCUUAAAAAAAAUUUACGUGUAUAGGUUGAUUUUAACUUCUGCAAGAAGUUUGAUGAA